UACGUAGGGCGCAAGCGUUGUCCGGAAUUACUGGGCGUAAAGGGUGCGUAGGCGGUUCGUUAAGUCUGUCGUGAAAUCCCCGGGCUCAACCUGGGAAUGGCGAUGGAUACUGGCGAGCUAGAGUGUGUCAGAGGAUGGUGGAAUUCCCGGUGUAGCGGUGAAAUGCGUAGAGAUCGGGAGGAACAUCAGUGGCGAAGGCGGCCAUCUGGGACAACACUGACGCUGAAGCACGAAAGCGUGGGGAGCAAACAGG
rnacentral:rRNA from 1 species